rnacentral:rRNA from 1 species
UACGUAGGGGGCUAGCGUUGUCCGGAUUUAUUGGGCGUAAAGAGCGUGUAGGCGGCCAGGUAGGUCUGGUGUGAAAACUCGAGGCUUAACCUCGAGAUGUCAUCGGAAACCAUCUGGCUAGAGUUCGGUAGGGGAGACUGGAAUUCCUGGUGUAGCGGUGAAAUGCGCAGAUAUCAGGAGGAACACCGGUGGCGAAGGCGGGUCUCUGGGCCGAUACUGACGCUGAGGAGCGAAAGCGUGGGGAGCGAACAGG